rnacentral:rRNA from 1 species
UACGAAGGGGGCUAGCGUUGUUCGGAAUUACUGGGAGUAAAGCGCACGUAGGCGGGUCUGUAAGUAGGGGGUGAAAUCCCAGGGCUCAACCCUGGAACUGCCUUCUAGACUGCAGGCCUGGAGGUCAGGAGAGGCGAGUGGAAUACCGAGUGUAGAGGUGAAAUUCGUAGAUAUUCGGUGGAACACCAGUGGCGAAGGCGACUCGCUGGACUGAUACUGACGCUGAGGUGCGAAAGCGUGGGGAGCAAACAGG